rnacentral:tRNA from 1 species
GCCGCGGUAGCUCAGUUGGUAGAGCAUCGGACGCGCUUUGCGAAGGUCGCAGGUUCGAUCCCUGCCCGCGGCA